CCUACGGGAGGCAGCAGUGGGGAAUAUUGGACAAUGGGCGAAAGCCUGAUCCAGCAAUGCCGCGUGAGUGAUGAAGGCCUUAGGGUUGUAAAGCUCUUUUACCAGGGAUGAUAAUGACAGUACCUGGAGAAUAAGCUCCGGCUAACUCCGUGCCAGCAGCCGCGGUAAUACGGAGGGAGCUAGCGUUGUUCGGAAUUACUGGGCGUAAAGCGUGCGUAGGCGGUGAUUCAAGUCAGAGGUGAAAGCCUGGAGCUCAACUCCAGAACGGCCUUUGAAACUAGAUCGCUAGAAUUAUGGAGAGGUAAGUGGAAUUCCGAGUGUAGAGGUGAAAUUCGUAGAUAUUCGGAAGAACACCAGUGGCGAAGGCGACUUACUGGACAUAUAUUGACGCUGAGGUACGAAAGCGUGGGGAGCAAACAGGAUUAGAUACCCUGGUAGUCCACGCCGUAAACGAUGAUAACUAGCUGUUCGGGCUCUCAGAGCUUGAGUGGCGCAGCUACGCAUUAAGUUAUCCGCCGUCGGGUAGGUACGGUCGCGAAGAAGUUAAAACUAACGAAAGAAGUUAGACGGACGUGAGACGUAGCCGACGGACGACGACGAGGGAGGUUAGG
rnacentral:rRNA from 1 species